CAGUCGCCACGGUAAUACGAAGGGUGCAAGCGUUACUCGGAAUUACUGGGCGUAAAGCGUGCGUAGGUGGUGGUUUAAGUCCGUUGUGAAAGCCCUGGGCUCAACCUGGGAAUUGCAGUGGAUACUGGGUCACUAGAGUGUGGUAGAGGAUAGUGGAAUUUCCGGUGUAGCAGUGAAAUGCGUAGAGAUCGGAAGGAACAUCUGUGGCGAAGGCGACUAUCUGGGACAACACUGACGCUGAGGCACGAAAGCGUGGGGAGCAAACAGGAUUAGAUACCCCAGUAGUCCCUGUCUCUUAUAC
rnacentral:rRNA from 1 species